GUCAAGUAAGAAUACCCGCUGAACUUAAGCAUAUCAAUAAGCGGAGGAAAAGAAACUAACUAGGAUUCCCUUAGUAACGGCGAGUGAACUGGGAAGAGCUCAAAUUUUAAAUCACUUUGGUGAAUUGUAAUUUGAAGAAAGUGUUUUGACUUUUCAGUUUAAUCUAAAUCCUUUGGGAUGAGGUAUCAUAUAGGGUGAGAAUCCCGUUCGUGAUUAAACCUCGGAUUGCACUAAUUCACUUUCUAAGAGUCGAGUUGUUUGGGAUUGCAGCUCUAAAUGGGUGGUAAAUUUCACCUAAGGCUAAAUAUAUGCAAGAGACCGAUAGCGAACAAGUACCGUGAGGGAAAGAUGAAAAGAACUUUGAAAAGAGAGUUAAACAGUACGUGAAAUUGUUGAAAGGGAAACGAUUGAAGUCAGUCAUACUAGUGAGGAAUCAACUUGGUGGUUUACUUCCUUGUGUAUUUUCUUGCUUGGCAGGUUAGCAUCAAUUUUGGUUGUCAUCAAAUAAUUGGGGGAAUGUUGCUUUUCUUCGGGAAAGUGUUAUAGACCUUGAUAGAUGUGGCGACUGGGAUUGAGGUUUGCAGCGGAUGCCUUUGGCUAGUCACCUAUCUUCUGACCGUCACCUCGCUUUUGACGGCUUGCUGAUGAUUGCGGGAUUUGGUGGCCUAGAAGUUAGAAUGUACAUAAAUUCGCUAAGGAUGCUGACGUAAUGGCUUUAAACGACCCGUCUUGAAACACGGACCAAGGAGUCUAACAUAUGUGCGAGUGUU
rnacentral:rRNA from 1 species